rnacentral:rRNA from 1 species
CCUACGGGAGGCAGCAGUGGGGAAUAUUGGACAAUGGGGGGAACCCUGAUCCAGCGACGCCGCGUGAGUGAAGAAGUAUUUCGGUAUGUAAAGCUCUAUCAGCAGGGAAGAAAAUGACGGUACCUGACUAAGAAGCCCCGACUAACUACGUGCCAGCAGCCGCGGUAAUACGUAGGGGGCAAGCGUUAUCCGGAUUUACUGGGUGUAAAGGGAGCGUAGACGGUGCAGCAAGUCUGAUGUGAAAGGUCGGGGCCCAACCCCGGGACUGCAUUGGAAACUGUUGAACUGGAGUACAGGAGAGGUAAGCGGAAUUCCUAGUGUAGCGGUGAAAUGCGUAGAUAUUAGGAGGAACCCCAGCGGCGAAGGCGGCCUGCUGGACUGAAACUGACGUUGAGGCUCGAAAGCGUGGGGAGCAAACAGGAUUAGAUACCCCGGUAGUC